rnacentral:rRNA from 1 species
AGUGGCCUACGGGGCGCAGCAGUGAGGAAUAUUGGUCAAUGGACGAGAGUCUGAACCAGCCAAGUCGCGUGAGGGAAGACUGCCCUAUGGGUUGUAAACCUCUUUUGUCAGGGAGCAACGCCGGCUACGUGUAGCCGGACUGAGAGUACCUGAAGAAAAAGCAUCGGCUAACUCCGUGCCAGCAGCCGCGGUAAUACGGAGGAUGCGAGCGUUAUCCGGAUUUAUUGGGUUUAAAGGGUGCGCAGGCGGCGAGUUAAGUCAGCGGUAAAAUUUCGGGGCUCAACCCCGACGAGCCGUUGAAACUG